GACGAACGCUGGCGGCGUGCCUAAUACAUGCAAGUAGAACGCAGUUGCGAACGGGUGAGUAACGCGUAGGUAACUGCCUCAUAGCGGGGGAUAACUAUUGGAAACGAUAGCUAAUACCGCAUACUGUUAGAUGGACCUGCGUUGUAUUAGCUAGUGGGUGGGGUAAAGGCUCACCAAGGCGACGAUACAUAGCCGACCUGAGAGGAGGACCGGCCACACUGGGAAUGAGACACGGUCCAGACUCCUACGGGAGGCAGCAGUAGGGAAUAUUGGGCAAUGGACGGAAGUCUGACGGAGCAAUGCCGCGUGAGUGAAGAAGGCUUUCGGAUCGUAAAGCACUGUUGUCAGGGAGGCGGUAACUAACAAGAAACGGACGGCUAACUACGUGCAAGCAGCCGCGGAAUAC
rnacentral:rRNA from 1 species